UUGCGCUUUCGUGAUGUCCGGUCGU
rnacentral:piRNA from 1 species